rnacentral:lncRNA from 1 species
AUGGGGGGACCGAGGGAGCAGGGAAAAGGGGGGGGGGGGAGCAAGGAUGGAGCACCCUGCGUCUCCCGGGGGCUGGUGGAGGGGACUGGAGGGGACUGGAGGGGACUGGAGGGGAUGUCCCGUGCGCGAUCCAUGCUGGGAGGUGGCAGCAGCACAUCGGGGAGUUGGGGGGGGGAUCCCCAGAGGGUACGAGCAGAGGCUGCUUCGCCCCCCUCCAUCCCCGGCGCUCCCGCUGGCUGGGCUGUGCAGGCACGGCAGGAGAGAACAAAGCGGAGAACAAAAAAAAGCAGCUGCAAACCACAGCCGGCACCCUCAGCCCUGCGGCUGCUGCGGGUGGCCCCGGGAGGUUUACCCCGUGCUGCCGGAGCCAGCAGCCCUGCGGGAACCACGAGGAGGUUUUUCUCACCCCAAAACCACCCCGUCUCUCAGCUCGCCCUCCCGAAAUCACCGAGCGCGGCUCCAAACCCCCCUGGUUUCGCCCUGCUGCUGCUCACUCGGGGCCCCUCUGGGUUGGUGGCUGCCCGGGGAGUGGGGAGGGGAACGGCGUGGCCACGGCUGCACCCCAAAAUCCGAGCUGCCCACAGUCUCAGCACGUGCUGGGACCCAAAAGGGCUCAAAACCAGCACCAAAAGCAGCACCCGGGGGGGCUGCAGCAACGCGAGCCCAGCGCAGGACCCCGGCACCACAUCACGGCCCCAAACGGCACCAGCCCUCGUCACAGCCCCGGUGUCCGCCGAGCCCCAGGAGGGGAACGGAGCUGUCCUGACCCCACAAACGCCCCCGUUGCUGGCACCGGGGUGCAGCCACCUCUCCGCGGCACCGCAGCCAGCGGGGGAAUUGCACCGCGGGGACAGGAGCUCGGGGAGCCCCCGAGCACGGGGAUGGGACGGGGGUAACGAGGUUGGAUUUUUCCCAAAUCCAAGAUGCGAAAGGCCAGGUCCCAGGGCUGAUCCCAGCCCGGGUGGGCGCGGGGGUGCCGGGGUCCUCUCGGGAAAGGCGCUGCCAGCGAGCCCACCCACCAGCGCCUUUAAUUAA